AAUAUUGGACAAUGGGGGGAACCCUGAUCCAGCCAUGCCGCGUGUGUGAAGAAGGUCUUCGGAUUGUAAAGCACUUUAUGUUGGGAGGAAGAGUUGUAGGCUAAUACCUUGCAAUUGUGACGUUACCAACAGAAUAAGCACCGGCUAACUUUCUGCCCGCAGCCGCGGUAAUACGAAGGGUGCAACCGUUAAUCGGAAUUACUGGGCGUAAAGCGCGCGUAGGUGGUUCGUUGAGUUGGAAGUGAAAGCCCCGGGCUUAACCUGGGAAUUGCUUUCAAAACUGACGGGCUAGAGUACGGUAGAGGGUAGUGGAAUUUCCUGUGUAGCGGUGAAAUGCGUAGAUAUAGGAAGGAACACCAGUGGCGAAGGCGACCACCUGGGCUAAUACUGACACUGAGGUGCGAAAGCGUGGGGAGCAAACAGG
rnacentral:rRNA from 1 species